AGAUAUGUGGGCAAUCUAUUACUUCUCUAAUUCCACCCCUUACCUGGAUCAACUCAGCUGACUGGCAGGUGGACGUCCCGCCUCCACUAUUCCACAGUGAAGGAGGUCCGUUCCUUGGUCAAAGAUUUAUAGGUGGCUGUGUUCCUCUGCUAGAACUCCCAGACAAGCUUCAAGGUCUAUUUGUAGGGUAAGAUAGGGUAAUGAAGCUCCCAAUAUUCCAGACACAUUAAAAUGUGCUGCAUAGGGCAGGCUGCCCAUCUUU
ensembl:misc_RNA 7SK 7SK RNA